AUAGAAUAAUAUCAAUCAACUGCUUAAUUUUCCCUUUAUACGUUAUAUAUAUAUAUAUAUUAUAUAGAGGGACAUUCGUGACGGGGGCAUUCGUACUUUGCCGUUAGAGGUGAAAUUCUUGGAUCGGCGCAAGACGAGCGUCUGCGAAAGAAUUUGCCAAGAAUGUUUUCUAU
rnacentral:ncRNA from 1 species